UACAGAGGUCCCAAGCGUUGUUCGGAUUUAUUGGGCGUAAAGGGUGCGUAGGCGGCGGAGUAAGUUGGGUGUGAAAUCCCGGGGCUCAACCUCGGAAUUGCAUUCAAUACUGCUUCGCUUGAGUACUGGAGAGGAGGCUGGAAUUUACGGGUGUAGCAGUGAAAUGCGUAGAUAUCGUAAGGAAGGCCGGUGGCGAAAGCGAGCCUCUGGACAGUUACUGACGCUGAUGCACGAAGGCCAGGGGAGCAAACGGGG
rnacentral:rRNA from 1 species